rnacentral:rRNA from 1 species
UACGUAGGAGGCGAGCGUUGUCCGGAAUUACUGGGCGUAAAGCGUGCGCAGGCGGUCUUUUAAGUCAGAUGUGAAAUCCCCGGGCUUAACCUGGGAACUGCGUUUGAAACUGGAAGGCUAGAGUGUGGCAGAGGGGGGUGGAAUUCCACGUGUAGCAGUGAAAUGCGUAGAGAUGUGGAGGAACACCGAUGGCGAAGGCAGCCCCCUGGGCUAACACUGACGCUCAUGCACGAAAGCGUGGGGAGCAAACAGG